UCAGUUAAAGUGUUAGGUACUUUAUUUUGCUCAUCCGACGAGUUUUUAUGGAAUAUUUCACGAACUGCACUGUGGUCAGUGCCAGCCUUCCUGUCCAUAUUGUUAUUCAAAACAUAUACAUCUAGGAACUGAGUUACAAUGGAGAGAUAAAUCAGUACAUAUAGAGAAAAUGUAUUUAUCUCAUUGUUAAUACAGGCAUUUAUUAGUAAAGGUAUGUGUGCAUGUGUGUGUGAUAUGUGUUUUUACUCAUUUCUAAUUAACAUAUAUAUGCAUAUGUUAUGGUUUACAUCUUACUAUUUCCUGGUUGAGGAUUUCCACUUCCCAUCUUACCAUUUUUGGUUUGGUUUGGUUUGGUUUGUUUGAAGAUAGAGUUUCCCUGUGUAGCCCUGGCUGUCCUGGAACUCAUUCUGUAGACCAGGCAGGCCUCGAAUUCAGAGCUCUGCUUGCCUCUGCCUCCCUAGUGCUGGGAUUAAAGGUGUGCACCACCACUGCCUGCAACAAGGUAGGAAAUUGUGUUGUACCAUCUAUGUUGUACCUUCUAAUGAGAAGGAAGAAAUUGGUAAGUCUCUGCUGCUUCUGCGUUUUAAUUAUGUCACUGUCGUAAGCUGUAUGCAUUUUGUCAUUGAGUGUGUAAGAUAUUUAUCCCACUCACAUUAACUGUGCAUAUUCCACCUACGCCUAAAGUAGAGACUGAUGAACUCAGAACUUGUUUACAAGAGACUCAUCGUAUAGUAAAAACCAUACACAAAUAACUGACGUAAAGCAUAGCAACCAGUAAUAAGUCUAAUGUUAACAAUAAAUGAGAGAUGGAUGGAUGGACAGAUAGAUAGAUAGAUAGAUAGAUAGAUAGAUAGAUAGAUAGAUGAAUAGAUAGAUGAGUAGAUAGGUAGGUAGGUAGAUAGAUAGGUAGAUGGAUGGAUGGAUGAAUGGAUGGAUGGAUAGAUAGACAGACAGACAGACAGAUAGAUUAUCUUGUAGGAAGAGAGUGAAGGAAACCUUCAGCAUCACACUGCGCUUGGGCUUUUUAUGUCAUGGAUUUUGGCACAGAAGGCUGAUGAACUCAUGGCCGAGACUGGCAGAAGGCUUAUCAGUUUAGAUCAGAUCUUGUUAGAGCAGCACGAAAGGACUGUCCCUCGCUGGAGUCUGUCCUAGCUUUUGAACGGACAGCUCCUCUGUGGGGGCUCACAGGGUUUAGGUAAG
ensembl:lncRNA